UACAGAUGGAGCAAGCUUCCUGCGUUUUGAUUAGGUUUACAGCGUGUGGCAGCGUUUAUUGUUAUAGAAAGUGCCGUUAUAUGGUGGUUACACCAUCCCUAUAGACAGGAAGUCAUUGCUUUAAAGCUUUGACUCCCUGUCCAUCAACCCCAGCAGCUAUCACUUCAGGGGUUGGAAGCCGGGUUUCAAAUAACGUGAUGAAAAAGGUAAAGGAAUUUUCCAUGAAUCGGUCAAAUGAUAGAAUAUGGGAAGGAACGCCAAAGGCGAAGGCAUUUACUAAACUAUAACAGAAGCCCAAACACGGAAGUCCGAGGAGCAAAACGG
rnacentral:rRNA from 1 species